AGAACAGUGCUCUAAUAUAGUCUGGGGUCUGGGGCAUGUCGGGUGUCAGUGAGUGUUCAAGGAAGGGAAUGCGGUGGUUCCAAGAGGACAGUGCCGGGCUGAUGUCGGAGUGGGGCUAAUACUGGGGUUUUUGAGGAACAAGUGUCAGUGGCAACCGAUGGAAGGCGAGAGGCGCCCAGGGGAGAGUGCAGCCCAGGGAGGCAGGCUGGACUUCCACAGCAGUGAUUCUUCUUGGGGGUUGGGGGGUGGAUUUCACCUGAGGGCGGGCUGCGGGCAUGGACCCCAAGGGAGGCCUAUCAAAACAUCUGAGGGGGAGCAGUGCUCUGCUCAAAACAAAAACAAAACCAAAAACAAACCAAAAAGAAAACACAAAAACACGCCCGAAAGAUGAUGCUGAUAGGCUGCCUUGGGGGUCAUGCAUCCUCGGGUGAGAAUCACUGGGUGGAAGGGGCAGAGUGGAGAGCUGGGCAGAGACGAGAAG